CAAGUCGAGCGCACCCGCAAGGGUGAGCGGCGAAAGGGUCAGUAACACGAUCGAACGUGCCCCGAGGUGGGGGAUAGCGGUGGGAAACUGCCGGUAAUACCCCAUGAUCUCUCCGGAGCAAAGGUUUACCGCCUUGGGAUCGGCGAUCGUCCUAUCAGCUUGUUGGCGGGGUAACGGCCCACCAAGGCGAUGACGGGUAGCAGGUGUGAGAGCACGACCUGCGACAUCGGAACUGAGACACUGUCCGGACUCCUACGGGAGGCUGCAGCGACGAAUCUUCCGCAAUGGGCGCAAGCCUGACGGAGCGACGCCGCGUGUGGGAUGAAGCGCCUUCAGCGUGUAAACCACUGUCAGGGGGCAGAACCAAUGAUCGCCCCCAGAGGAAGAGGCGGCUAACCCUGUGCCAGCAGCCGCGGUAAGACAGGGGCCUCGAGCGUUAAUCGGAAUUACUGGGCUUAAAGGGUGCGUAGGCGGGCCUGCAAGUGCUUUGUGAAAUCCCCCGGCUCAACCGGGGAACUGCGGGGCAUACUGCGGGUCUUGAGGAAGGUAGGCGCCGAGGGAACAGUAGGUGGAGCGGUGAAAUGCGUAGAUAUCUACUGGAACGCCGAUGGUGAAGACGCUCGGCCGGGCCUUUCCUGACGCUGAGGCACGAAAGCGUGGGGAGCAAACAGGAUUAGAUACCCUGGUAGUCCACGCCGUAAACGAUGCACGCUAGAUCGGUGCGGGUUUGACCCCGGAUCGGUCGGAGUAAAAACGAUAAGCGUGCCGCCUGGGGAGUACGGUCGCAAGGCUAAAACUCAAAGAAAUUGACGGGGGCUCACACAAGCGGUGGAGCAUGUUGCUUAAUUC
rnacentral:rRNA from 1 species